AACGAACGCUGGCGGCACGCCUAACACAUGCAAGUCGAACGGUAACGGGUACUUCGGUACGCCGACGAGUGGCGAACGGGUGAGUAACACGUGGAUACCUGUCCUAGGGUACGGGACAACAGUUAGAAAUGACUGCUAAUACCGUAUACGUCCUAAGGGAGAAAGAUUUAUUGCCCCUGGAGGGGUCCGCGUCGGAUUAGCUAGUUGGUGGGGUAACGGCCCACCAAGGCGACGAUCCGUAGCUGGUCUUAGAGGACGAUCAGCCACACUGGGACUGAGACACGGCCCAG
rnacentral:rRNA from 1 species